GCCAGACUCCUACGGGAGGCAGCAGUGGGGGAUAUUGCACAAUGGGGGGAACCCUGAUGCAGCGACGCCGCGUGGGUGAAGGAGCGUUUCGGCGCGUAAAGCCCUAUCGGCAGGGAAGAAGGAGGACGGUACCUGACUAAGAAGCCCCGGCUAACUACGUGCCAGCAGCCGCGGUAAUACGUAGGGGGCAAGCGUUAUCCGGAUUUACUGGGUGUAAAGGGGGCGCAGACGGCAGCGCAAGCCAGGAGUGAAAGCCCGGGGCCCAACCCCGGGACUGCUCUUGGAACUGCGCGGCUGGAGUGCAGGAGGGGCAGGCGGAAUUCCUGGUGUAGCGGUGAAAUGCGUAGAUAUCAGGAGGAACACCGGUGGCGAAGGCGGCCCGCUGGACUGCGACUGACGUUGAGGCCCGAAAGCGUGGGGAGCAAACAGGAUUAGAUACCCGGGUA
rnacentral:rRNA from 1 species